GAACAUAAGCAUCAUUCUCUCUUCCAGGUCUCAGAGAUGGAGACAGACAGACUCCUGCUAUGGGUGCUGCUGCUCUGGGUUCCAGGCUCCACUGGUGACACUGUACUGACCCAGUCUCCUGCUUUGGCUGUGUCUCCAGGAGAGAGGGUUACCAUCUCCUGUAGGGCCAGUGAAAGUGUCAGUACACUUAUGCACUGGUACCAACAGAAACCAGGACAGCAACCCACACUCCUCAUCUAUCUAGCAUCAAACCUAGAAUCUGGGGUCCCUGCCAGGUUCAGUGGCAGUGGGUCUGGGACAGACUUCACCCUCACCAUUGAUCCUGUGGAGGCUGAUGACACUGCAACCUAUUACUGUCAGCAGAGUUGGAAUGAUCCUCCCACAGUGCUCCAGGGCUGAACAAAUACCUCCUGUUUUUGCAGCUCACUGAGGCUCAGUGUCUCAGUUCUUGCUUCCUCUCUGACCUCUCAACACAGAGCUCUAAGCUGUUUUGGAAAAAGAUCUCAAAUAGUGAAACAAGCUUUUAUAAACAGAUACGCAUGUAUGUCCUAUUUUACAAGCUUUGGGAUUUAGUCAUAUCUGAACAAAAUUUAGACAUUUAUGAUAGUUUCUCAUUUACUAUUUAUCACUUAGAACGAUUGUGAACAUGUUUAUCUUAUGAUAUAUUUCAUGCUUUCUCCCUCAUCUCCUUGACCACAUCUCUGUCUAUUCCCUCCACUCUCACUAUUCCACCUUUGACCUUCCUAUCUCUUUAAAAAAGUUUUGCAUUUAAAAAAUAU